AGGAUCGGGUAAUCUGCAUCCUGAGGUUUAGAGCAGCUGCAUGUCAUAUAUCUAUGUUUGUGUCUAGCCCUUGGGAUGCAGAUUACCUCAUCCU
rnacentral:pre_miRNA from 1 species